AACAAACCAAUCUUUUACUUUUUACCUAUAAUAUUUAACUGUUCGUCUUAUUAAAAAAUUUACGAUUAACAAUUUUAUUUUUAUCAGAUGAUAAAUCAUGAAUAAUACUUUACGUGUGAUGACUAUUUUUUUUUAAUUUCUUAAAAAAAUUAAAUAAGACGGAUGGUCAAACGCUGGAUAUGGAAACC
rnacentral:pre_miRNA from 1 species